rnacentral:misc_RNA from 1 species
GAAAUGCGAUACGUAAUGCGAAUUGCAGAAUUCAGUGAAUCAUCAAAUCUUUGAACGCAACUUGCGCUCUCCGGAUAUUCCUGGGAGCACACUUCUUUGAGUAUCGGUUCUAUCUCAGCUCGACAGCGUGCUUGCAUGCGUAGUCGGAAAUUGAGCGUCAACAGCUUUCGAGCUUGGUGUCGCUUGAAGUACAUGUGCUUCUAUGUUCUCUAUUCGUUUCAAGUCUUAGCUUCAUUACCGCUUGCACUUGAUUCGACGUGGAUAAUUUCGCUUUAUGCGAAUCUUCCAAUACGUUGUAUCAGGGAGGCAAUUUAGCUUUUUGAAAUGUGAUUUUGAAUGGCACAAACCCGUUCGAAAGAACAAACUUUCUGAAUUUAGAUCUCAAAUGAAGUGAGACAAC